rnacentral:rRNA from 1 species
UAUAAGUGAUGGCGACCGGCGCACGGGUGAGUAACACGUAUCCAACCUGCCGAUGACUCGGGGAUAGCCUUUCGAAAGAAAGAUUAAUACCCGAUGGUAUAAUAAAACCGCAUGGUUUAAUUAUUAAAGAAUUUCGGUUAUCGAUGGGGAUGCGUUCCAUUAGGCAGUUGGUGAGGUAACGGCUCACCAAACCUUCGAUGGAUAGGGGUUCUGAGAGGAAGGUCCCCCACAUUGGAACUGAGACACGGUCCAA